UGGCGGCGGUGGGCUUCGCGGUCAGCGCCUCGGGCUCCCGGCGCGAACGGGCGGCGGAGCUCGGCGUGUUGCGGGCGCUCGGCGCCCCGCGCCGCCGGC
rnacentral:tRNA from 1 species